UUAUUAUUAGGGGUCCAAGCCAACAGGUUGGAUCCCUAUUGUUUUUGUAAGGAUUUUUAGGGGUCCAAGCCAACAGGUUGGAUCCCUAUUGUUUUUGUAGUGUUUAUUAGGGGUCCAAGCCAACAGGUUGGAUCCCUAUUGUUUUUGUAAGGAUUAUUAUUAGGGGUCCAAGCCAACAGGUUGGAUCCCUAUUGUUUUUGUAAGGAUUUUUAUUAGGGGUCCAAGCCAACAGGUUGGAUCCCUAUUGUUUUUGUAAGGAUUUUUCUUAUUAUUAUUCCUGCGCUAAAUGUGGUACCACAGCCCAAACCGUAAAUGGUGCCGACACGCCAAUUGCAUGACUUGAUCCAGGUCCGGCACCGCUACUCAGAUAACAAAAUCCAGACACGCCGGCCACUAGGUGGCGCUAUACCAAGGAAAGACGCGUUUGGGGCUAUAACUCCCACACCGAACCUCC
ensembl:lncRNA